AUUGAACGCUGGCGGCAGGCUUAACACAUGCAAGUCGAGCGGGGUGAUGGUGCUUGCACUAUCACUUAGCGGCGGACGGGUGAGUAAUGCUUAGGAAUCUGCCUAUUAGUGGGGGACAACAUCUCGAAAGGGAUGCUAAUACCGCAUACGUCCUACGGGAGAAAGCAGGGGAUCACUUGUGACCUUGCGCUAAGAGAUGAGCCUAAGUCGGAUUAGCUAGUUGGUGGGGUAAAGGCCUACCAAGGCGACGAUCUGUAGCGGGUCUGAGAGGGUGAUCCGCCACACUGGGACUGAGACACGGCCCAGACUCCUACGGGAGGCAGCAGUGGGGAAUAUUGGACAAUGGGGGGAACCCUGAUCCAGCCAUGCCGCGUGUGUGAAGAAGGCCUUAUGGUUGUAAAGCACUUUAAGCGAGGAGGAGGCUCUUUUGGUUAAUACCCAAGAUGAGUGGACGUUACUCGCAGAAUAAGCACCGGCUAACUCUGUGCCAGCAGCCGCCGUAA
rnacentral:rRNA from 1 species